UACGGGGGGGGCAAGCGUUGUUCGGAAUUACUGGGCGUAAAGGGCUCGUAGGUGGCCAACUAAGUCAGACGUGAAAUCCCUCGGCUUAACCGGGGAACUGCGUCUGAUACUGGCAGGCUUGAAUCCGGGAGAGGGAUGCGGAAUUCCAGGUGUAGCGGUGAAAUGCGUAGAUAUCUGGAGGAACACCGGUGGCGAAGGCGGCAUCCUGGACCGGCAUUGAAGCUGAGGCGCGAAAGCCAGGGGAGCAAACGGG
rnacentral:rRNA from 1 species